rnacentral:sRNA from 1 species
UCAAUUUGGCCAUCUUGACCGGCCUAUGC